GACGUAGGGGACGAGCGUUGUCCGGAUUCAUUGGGCGUAAAGCGCGCGUAGGCGGCCACGCAAGUCGGGUGUGAAAUCCCGGAGCUCAACUCCGGAACUGCACUCGAAACUGCGCGGCUUGAGGUAGGUAGGGGAGAUCGGAAUUCCUGGUGUAGCGGUGGAAUGCGCAGAUAUCAGGAGGAACACCGGUGGCGAAGGCGGAUCUCUGGGCCUUACCUGACGCUGAGGCGCGAAAGCUAGGGGAGCAAACAGG
rnacentral:rRNA from 1 species